AGAAAUAAAGGGUUGUAGGAGGAUGCCUUGGCAUCAACAGGCGAUGAAGGACGCGUAAACCUGCGAUAAUCCUCGGGGAGCUGGAAGUAGCUUUGAUCCGGGGGAUUCCGAAUGGGGAAACCCAGCAAGAGUAAAGUCUUGUUAUUCUGUACUGAAUACAUAGGUACAGAAGGCGACACCUGCUGAAGUGAAACAUCUCAGUAAGCAGAGGAAUAGAAAUCAAACGAGAUUUCCUAAGUAGCGGCGAGCGAACGGGAAAGAGCCCAAACCGAAGGCUUAUGCUUUCGGGGUUGUAGGACCGGCAAUACGGAACUCUUUUCUCUUAGUUGAAUGACCUGGAAAGGUCUGCGAUACAGGGUGAUAGCCCCGUAAACGAAAAGAGAAAAGUAUCUAGCCGGUAUCCUGAGUAGGACCGAACACGUGAAACUCGGUCUGA
rnacentral:rRNA from 1 species